CCUACGGGGGGCUGCAGUGGGGAAUAUUGGACAAUGGGCGAAAGCCUGAUCCAGCCAUGCCGCGUGUGUGAAGAAGGCCUUCGGGUUGUAAAGCACUUUCAGUGGGGAAGAAAGCCUUGGGGCUAAUACCCUCGAGGAAGGACAUCACCCACAGAAGAAGCACCGGCUAACUCCGUGCCAGCAGCCGCGGUAAUACGGAGGGUGCGAGCGUUAAUCGGAAUUACUGGGCGUAAAGCGCGCGUAGGCGGUCUGAUAAGCCGGUUGUGAAAGCCCCGGGCUCAACCUGGGAACGGCAUCCGGAACUGUCAGGCUAGAGUGCAGGAGAGGAAGGUAGAAUUCCCGGUGUAGCGGUGAAAUGCGUAGAGAUCGGGAGGAAUACCAGUGGCGAAGGCGGCCUUCUGGACUGACACUGACGCUGAUGUGCGAAAGCGUGGGUAGCAAACAGGAUUAGAUACCCGAGUAGUC
rnacentral:rRNA from 1 species